rnacentral:rRNA from 11 species
GGCAUAAGCCUAAGUGCCCUAAAGGUGCCAGAUCUCAGCUGAUCUUGGAUGCUAAGCUGGGUCAGCUCUGGGUAGUACUUGGAUGUGAGACCAAUAAUAAACCCCAGAUGCUCCUUUCA